CCCUUAGAUGUUCUGGGCCGCACGCGCGCUACACUGACGAUGGCAACGAGUUUUUCCUUCGCCGAAAGGUGUGGGUGAUCUUUUGAAACAUCGUCGUGCUGGGGAUAGAUCAUUGCAAUUUUUGAUCUUGAACGAGGAAUUCCUAGUAAGCGCGAGUCAUCAGCUCGCGUUGAUUACGUCCCUGCCCUUUGUACACACCGCCCGUCGCUACUACCGAUUGAAUGGUUUAGUGAGGACUCCUGAUUGGCGCCGCCGCCCCGGCAACGGAGCAGCGGACUGCCGAAAAGUUGUUCAAACUUGAUCAUUUAGAGGAAGUAAAAGUCGUAACA
rnacentral:rRNA from 1 species